GUGCAAAGGCAUGACUCACUCUCGUCCAUUUAAUUACUGAGAGUGUUUCUCUCGUGUCUUUCGGUUUGAACGCCUUGUGCUUGUUUAUUCAAGCCACCUGCGUCAUCCUAACAUCUCGUCACCUCCUUUUAUUCAAAAAUGACAGGCUCAACCUUCAGCUGCAACAUUGAGCUGUGGUUCAGAAAGAUCCCACUGGCGGAAAAAGGGAUUGGUGCUGUAUCCAGAGAAUGGGGUAGGAGACGCUGCGUCUUUUAAUGCAUGAUUCCCUUCCAACCAAGGAUGCUGCCAGACCUGCAUAACUUAAAAUUCCUGGUUGUGUUAUCAGGUAAAUGUACUUAACCCCCACCUUAUUCUUCCCUGUGCAAGCAUCAGUCUAUUUGGAUCCGUCAAGAUGCCUGGUGGAAAUUGUGAAACGUGAGGGGCAUUUACUUCCCUGUUGAAAUCCAGAGACCAGCGCUUUCACAAUGACAUCUCCAGAUAAAUGGUGCAAUGUGCAGUGCCCAUCUCUCAGCACUUCCAAGUAUAAACCCCCUCAAUUUUAGCACGGAAUAAGUAGGCUUCCAUUUAUAUGACAUUUUUGAUUAAUCUUAUGAUGCCUCUAGAUAAUUAAGUACUUCUGAAAUGUAAUCACUUGCUGUUAUUAAGGAAAAGAAGCGCAUGCUGACCAAGGUCCUCGAGGAGUUUAAAAACAGGAAGAGUUUAGAUACAGCAAAUAAGGAGAAACUGUUUUCAGUGGCUGGGAAGUAAAUGACCUAAAAGUUUCUGGUUUGAUGAUUGAUGAAAGAAAGAGCGAGCGACGGCAUGAGGGAAAUGUCUCUUGUACAAACUGUACGGUUACAAUUUGAAAGGUACUGUCUGCGAAACGGUCGAUACAGAUUCAGUGAUGGCCUUCAAACAAAAAAGUUUUGCCAGCUGAUGGAAUUUGAACCUGGGUCGUUAUCCUGGACCUCCGAAUGACUAUUGACAUUACCACCAGGACGCUGGCGAGCUGCUUCGCGACAAGGUCAAGGUCCAUCUUGGAAAAAAGGAAAAAUUGAAUGUCUCCAAUCUCACAAGGAACAUAUGUUCAGUCACAAACAAUCAGCUGCUGGCAGAUUGGAGAAUGGGAGCUGUUGGGAAUUGCUGGCUGU